rnacentral:rRNA from 1 species
UACGGAGGAUGCAAGCGUUAUCCGGAAUGAUUGGGCGUAAAGCGUCCGCAGGUGGCUUUGUAAGUCUGCUGUUAAAGAGUGAGGCUCAACCUCAUAAGAGCAGUGGAAACUACAAGGCUAGAGUACGUUCGGGGCAGAGGGAAUUCCUGGUGUAGCGGUGAAAUGCGUAGAGAUCAGGAAGAACACCGGUGGCGAAAGCGCUCUGCUAGGCCGUAACUGACACUGAGGGACGAAAGCUUGGGGAGCGAAUGGG